UAACAUUUUUUGGUAAAAUAGAAAUUAAACCACAAUGGGAUAAAAUGAAAUUGUUUGAAUCACAUAAUGAUAAAGUAAAAAUAAGUUAAAUUAUAGGAGUAAUUUGCUGAAGUUUAUUUUUUUUGAAUAUAUUUAAUUUAUAAAUAUAGAUAAUAAUGGAACUAGGUUGGAAUACUACCAAUAGCACUAAGCUAUCGGUGCUAUUAGGUUUUCGGCCCUUGGAUGAAGGAAUGUACAGUUAGCAUGCUGUGAGCCCUCUAGGGGUUGAAUAAGUUGUUGGUUGAAAAGCAUAAUCUAACGGGUGAAAAUAGUAAAGGGGGUUAAAUCUAACAGUGAAAAACUCAUUAGUAUUAAGCGCUUGGUGUAAUCGAUAGAAUCCCAGCUGGACUCGAUUCUGAUGAUAAUAAUAAUACAUAUAAAUGGAUCCUAAAUAGCAGAGUCAUCGCACGUGAUACGCAAUUGGGACAACCGGGUA
rnacentral:lncRNA from 1 species